UACGUAGGGCGCAAGCGUUGUCCGGAAUUAUUGGGCGUAAAGAGCUCGUAGGCGGCCUGUUGCGUCCGCUGUGAAAACCCGGGGCUUAACCCCGGGCUUGCAGUGGAUACUGGCAGGCUGGAGGCAGGCAGGGGAGAACGGAAUUCCCGGUGUAGCGGUGAAAUGCGCAGAUAUCGGGAGGAACACCGGUGGCGAAGGCGGUUCUCUGGGCCUGUACUGACGCUGAGGAGCGAAAGCGUGGGGAGCGAACAGG
rnacentral:rRNA from 1 species